GGAAGUUUUCCAGAAAACUUACAGAAUCCACAUUGAAUAAAUACAAAGAUAUGAAUUUCAUGCAAAUUCAGCGUUUCCUCACAUCUCGUUCACAAAGUCAAUACAGACAGCUUUGGAAUUGGAUUUGAAAGACGAGCACGCUCAGAAUGGAGGGAAAACAGCAGCAUGUUGUGGACCUUACACAAAAUGAGGCCGAGAUGGUGACAAUGUUACCCAGAAAUCCAUACUGCUCAGAUGAAGGAACACACUGUGGUUGUAAAUUGCACAAUCUGACCUUCCAGCCAUAGUGGGUUACAGGAAAACCAUGGUCACUCUGGAAAACAUUUCUGGUGUGUCUAUUGGCCUGUAUAAUUGCUGCUACCCUUGUAGUUCUGGUCUUAUAUUUUGUCCCCUUUGGCAAGCCCACCUGCCACACCACCAUCAUCAUCCAUGCAGAUGGAAAGUCCAGUCAUGUCACUUGCCUUCCUGGUCCUGCCCCAUCUGCUGCCCGAUUGCCCCCACCUGGAUCUCAGAGCACCCUGCCUGCUGUUCCUAUGGCCAACCCAAGUUCCUCUACCACGGCGUCACCAUCUACUAUAGCAACCGAGACCACCUCACAGCGCCAUGAAGUUGUCUUUCAUUACUCCUGAGGUUUUUGAGCCUUCAGCCCUCCUCAAGCCAGAUAAACACUCUUCCCUAAAAGAGAUAUGCCCAAGCUUCUCUCCUCCUUACCAUGAGGUUCCAGAGAAUUUAGCCUCCUGACAUCUCACCACUCUUAUUCAAUUCUUUGCUGGCUUCCCACGUGGUAAUGACUUAGUUUUUGACCUGCCCAUGUUUAAAUGAUUAGGAAUGAAAAUUUAAGCCUGGAUGAGCCUGCCAUAUGCUCCCUGCCCUGUCAAGCUGCCUGCAUGCUGGUUCGUAGCCUUGUGUCUACCCUCCAGCCACUAUUGAUUAUCUCCCAAUCUCACAGACUUGACAAUUUUUAGCACUUGUGUGCCAGUAGAUAAAGAAGCAAAUGUUUAUUAAAAGUGAAAGGAAUGAUUUAUUAAAUGAUUACUAAUCUUUACAGAGGGGUUCUUCUUCUUGGAGAAUUCAGAAAACAGUAGAGAUCUGUGGGGAUAGAAAUAAUCAAAAAGCAUUAGCGAAGGGUUUAAUGUGAGAAAAGGUUUGGAUUUAAGUGGAUGUAAUUAAAACUAAAAAAUGAAAGCUCCAAAGGGGUUUAAUAGAAUUAAAAACAAAGGUACACUUGGAAAGACUUGAAAUGUGAACAAAUGACAUAGAUUUAUACCAUAGAAAUAUUAAACUUUUAAAUUGUUUUAUUCUUCAUCUGAGGGGCACAUUACUUAUAAUUUGCUGUGAAAUACAGUAUAUUGUUCAACGUUGGUUAUAUUCUGUGGGGUUAAUACAUUCUAGAAGCAAACACUUCUCAGGGCAGAAAAGACUUCAGAGCUAAAGAAUCCCACCUGAUUUACCCCUAACCUCCUAAAUUUAGAAAAGGGGAAGACUGUCCCAGUGAGGAGAUGCUCCUAGCCAAAGAC